rnacentral:rRNA from 1 species
GAUGAACGCUGGCGGCGUGCCUAAUACAUGCAAGUCGAGCGAAAAGACGCGGAGCUUGCUCCUCUGACGUUAGCGGCGGACGGGUGUGAAACACGUGGAUAACCUACCUAUCAGACUGAGAUCACCUCGGGAAACCGGCGAUAAUCCCGGAUAAUAUCUUGCACCGCAUGGUUCGUUAGUGAAAGUCGGUUUUGCUGUCUCUUAUCGAUGGAUCCGAGCCGCAUUAGCUAGUUGGUAAGGUAACAGCUUAUCAAGGCAACGAUGCGUAGCCGACCUGUGAGGGGGAUCGGCCACACAGGAGCUGAGACGCCGUCCAGACUCCGACGUGAGGCAGCGGUAGGGAAUCGUGCGCAAAGGGCGGAAGCUUGACGAAGCGACGGCACGUGGGUGAUGAAGGUCUUCGUAUCGGAAAACUCUGUUAUUGUUGAAGAACAAAUGUGUAAGUAACUAAGCGCGUCUGGACGUAACCGGAUCAGAAGGCCACGGCUAACUACUG